rnacentral:lncRNA from 1 species
UACAUCAACGCUGGGAUCAUAGCUCCACACCAGUUCAUCAGGUGUGUGUUGAGUCGGGAGACGCCAAUUAGCUACCAUCGGCGCUGGGAAAUCAUAGCUUCCACACCAGUUCAUCAGGGUGUGUGUUGAGUCGGGAGAACGCCCAUUAGCUACCAUCACACUGGAAUCAUAGCUUCCACAACCAGUUCAUCAGGGUGUGUGUUGAGUCGGGAGACGCCCAUUAGCUACCAUCACGCUGGGAAUCAUAGCUUCCACACCAGUUCAUCAGGGUGUGGUUGAGUCGGAGACGCCCAUUAGCUAGCAUCGCGCUGGGAAUCAUAGCUUCCACACCAG